GGUAUCUGUGUUUGGUCAAGGAGAAGCAUAAGGGAAAGGACUACAAAUGCGCUUUGGGGUAAGUGGAAGCUUUCUCUUCAUGGCUUGGGGAAGCAUUUUGUUGCUGUGGAGUUCAGACAGUGUCCCUGAUCACUUCUACCUGUUACCAAUUAGCAUUACCUAUGGGUAGUGUGUUGGUUAUUUGCAAAGACAUGGAUUCUUGAAGUUAUUUGUGACCAACUUCUGUGGCUUUCAGUAUGAAAAACUUGAAUACAUUUUGUAGAAGAUAUAGUUGACUUCUCAAAUUUCACAUGGAUCUACAACCAGUUAUCAAGGAGGUUAUGCUGAGUGCUAACCAUCUGUUCUUCUGCUCACAUUUACAUGUAAAACAUGUAAGAAGUGGGUAAGGGAGCUUAAAGUGUAUUUGCAGAUUGGUUGCUUGUAAGUUACUUCCAUCAAGAAAACAGUGGCUAAGAGCCCUCUGUUUUUCUUUAUUUUCCCCUACAAAAAUGUGGUAUGAAGCAUAUGAAGGUAUACAAAUGAAAAUUAAUACUUCCUUUUUUUAUUUCAUACUGUACACUGGAGACUUUCACUGUCUUGUAUCCUGUUUUUAUUCAUCUUCAGCAUAAGGGAUGUUUGUGUCUGAGUUUAUAUUUACCAAGAUAUGAUUAAUUUGUAUGAAAGAAGUAAAUGUUUUAAAUAACCCUGCUUAUCUGCAAAGAUUGUUGUUCAGACUGAAAAGGAUCAAUUGUAGUGGUAUCUAGUGCCCUUUACUGACACUAGUUUCAAAGUGCCAACUUCAGUUAAACAAUAUCCUGUUAAUAGCCUCUGGAUCUACCUACCUGGAAUUUCAGAAGUGGCUCAAUACUCCAACAUUUCAUCAAGUACAGAAUUAAAUUUUUAUUACCCAAAUCUGUGUAAAUUAUUUGUAUUUCAUAUUUUCUUCUCUUGAUAGAACUAAAACUGCAAGUUUAUGAGACUGAUUGUUUUGAUAGGUUACGCACAAUUUCAGCCUAUUUUUUAGAAAAAAUGUGAAAGAAUACUGGCCUGAAAAAAGAGUAAGAUACCUAACCUUAUUCUGAGUGACUUAGGGCUAGUACUGGUACAGACUGUACUCUCUUACAAGCAGAGGUGUCAUCUGUAAAGUAUCUGACUGUCUUGAUUAUAUGACUUUGAAUAAAUCUUUCUUGAAACUAUGCUGCCCUUCCUGAUUUCAGUCAAUUACUGAUUCAAAAAAAACUUCUUAUGGGUUUGCUGGAUGAGGUUGAAGCUCAUCUAUGAAAACUCGUGAACUAGUUUUUGCCUGCCACACAGGUUUACUGAAAAAGAUGGAAGGACUUGUGUUUGUAAGACACAAAUGUACAAGGUUAUCACCACCUGUUUCUAAUAAUUUGUUUUAAUUAAGUAAUAGAUCUGCACUUGCUUUUUUAAUAGAAUGAGUCAAUUUAGAGCUAAAGAAUUGGCUUGAAAUUAAAUGUCUUUAAAGGUUAAUGAAUGAUGCAUUCUUGAAGUAGUCUGAAGAACAAAAAAAACAUAUGUAAGUAAAAUGUAUGUCCUCUCUAAUUACAUGGAGAAAUAGAUAUGAAAGGGGACUCAAAUUCUUAAUUCUAACAUUAACAGCCUGGAUAAGGUUACUGACUGUGGAAGAUAGCAGAGCUCUUUCCAUAGUGAAAAUAAAUGAAUGAAGGAUAUUGGUAAACAGUAAUAUAAUAAAACUUAAAAAUGAAUACAACAAUUCAAAAAAAAAAUUGAAUAGACUAGGGUGUAUGUAGUGCCAAUGCUUUGAAUAUUACCUCAUUUUGCUUCAUAUGGAUUCUGGAGACUGCUUGGUAGGUUUGUAAACUUUACUCCUAAAGGAGGAGAUGCUCUGACCAAUGGAAAUGUAAGGACAGUUAGAAUGAAUAUGCAUGGGUGUUUUAUAUUUGUGUUGUGUAAAAACAGUAAAUAUUUCAGCCUGUCCUAUUCUGUUGAAUAUCUAUGUAGCUAUUCAAGAAAGGAAGAUGCCUGUCUUGAUUCUUCCUGUUCUCUGUUUCAAAUAUUGGAAAACCUUCAGACUAGUAUUAUUCAUUUCUAAUUUGCUUCCAUCAGAAGGCCAAAUGGAGAAACAGAAAGGUGUUUUGACAAUAAGGUAUGCAUUUAAGUAACGUGCUUAAAACCAUAGUCUUUGAGUCAAAGAUGUUGGACCUCAGGCAGCUCCACCAUCGCUGCUAAUAGACAGUGUCAGAAAACUGAUAACAAAACUCAUCUCCAUUAACAGUAUUUGUGCUCAGCAGAUGUGCAUCACUGAAAAUUAUGUUCAUGCUCUGAAAUGUCGCAAAAAGAUCCUUAGUAUGCUCUAGUUCUGCAAAUUGAAGCGAUAGCUGACUUACUCAUCUCUGUCAGAUAUUUAUUUACACGUCCCAUGGGGAAAUACAUUAUGCAUUUAGAAAGACACUGGAAUGUUUUGCAAAAACAUAAGUUAUUUUUAGAAAAAAGAUUCAUCUGUCACAGACAUGGACGACAUCUGGUUUAAGUGUGAUGAAUGCAUAUUGUAGAAGAAAAGGGACAUCCUGAUGCUAUUGCGUAUACAUCUUUGUGAUUAUGGUUGUGCCUUUUUCUAAGAAGCAAAUUUAUUACAGAUAAAUAUUUUAUUUUUUGCCCAAGUGUGCUUCAGAGCACUACAGAUACUUGAUGCUCUAGCGCUCCCCUAGACAGCAGGAGAAUCUGUUACGUAGUGCGGAAUUGUCCCUGGGAACAGUAGUAGAUCCUAAAAACCACAUAGAUGACUUCUUAAGGUGGGCUGGCAGCCACUGUAGGAAGAUCCGAGUUUUCUCAUACUUUGCCAUGUUGUGUCUGCAACACUGUGUUGGGCUCUGUAUAUCAAUGCAGUGGAAUGUAUUUACAUCAUCUUCCCUCCUACAUGGCCAUGGUGGCAGCUCAGGUAUUAAAUAUCUGCUAAUACACAUGCCUCAUAGAGACAUUUGUUUAUUUGUGCAACAUGAGCUUUCCCAUCAGCUAUUCAUCAUCUCUGCUUCAAAAAAAAAAAAGUAGGUCAGAUGGCAGCAGGCCAGGUUGUUCUCACUUUCCUUCCCUCAGGGGUAAGGAAGGCUAAGAGAAAUAGAGUUUGAAACACCAAAAUCUGAGAGACCAAACAGAAACGACUGGAAGUAUUGCACUGUUUUUCUCUAGUAUAGUAAGAGUUUGGUUUAAAUUCCUCUGCUUUUUGAGAAAGAUAAUUGAGAGAUAAAGAAGAGGCAGGUGAAUUUAUUCUCUGAUCUGUAUUUUGUAAUGUAUGACUUUGGCCAAGGAUCUUAAAAUAUGGUAUUUCUUUUGGUAUUUGCCUAUUAAACUUAACAUAUCAGUAUGUUUUUAUGUAUUACUUUGCUUGUUAAAAUAAACAAUGUACUGAAUGUUGAUAAAGUGCAAGAUUCCACU